rnacentral:tRNA from 1 species
AUUUAAAUAGUUUAUAUAAAAAUAUUAAUCUGUGAAAUUAAAGAAAAAGAAAUUUUUUAAAUC